GAACUAACGCUGGCGGCGUGCCUAACACAUGCAAGUCGUACGAGAAAGUUGGCUUCGGCCGAUGAGUAAAGUGGCGCACGGGUGAGUAAUGCGUGGAUAAUCUGCCCUUUAGUUGGGAAUAACGUACCGAAAGGUGCGCUAAUACCUGAUAAUACUGCAUAACUACUGUUGUGUAGUCAAAGAAGGCCUCUGUUUACAAGCUUUUGCUGAAGGAUGAGUCCGCGUACCAUUAGCUGGUUGGUGGGGUAAUGGCCUACCAAGGCUACGAUGGUUAGCUGGUCUGAGAGGAUGAUCAGCCACACUGGAACUGAGACACGGUCCAGACUCCUACGGGAGGCAGCAGUGAGGAAUAUUGCGCAAUGGGGGCAACCCUGACGCAGCAACGCCGCGUGAGUGAGGAAGGUUUUCGGACCGUAAAGCUCUGUCGAGCGGGAAGAAAUGUAUCAUGGCUAAUAUCCAUGAUACUUGACGGUACCGCUAAAGGAAGCACCGGCUAACUCCGUGCCAGCAGCCGCGGUAAUACGGGGGGUGCGAGCGUUGUUCGGAAUUAUUGGGCGUAAAGAGCGUGUAGGCGGCUGGAUCAGUCAGAUGUGAAAUCCCUGGGCUUAACCCAGGACGUGCAUUUGAAACUGUCCAGCUUGAGUAGGGGAGAGGAAAGUGGAAUUCCUGGUGUAGAGGUGAAAUUCGUAGAUAUCAGGAGGAACACCGGUGGCGAAGGCGACUUUCUGGCCCUAUACUGACGCUGAGACGCGAGAGCGUGGGUAGCAAACA
rnacentral:rRNA from 1 species